GAUGAACGCUGGCGGCGUGCCUAAUACAUGCAAGUCGAGCGAACAGACGAGGAGCUUGCUCCUCUGACGUUAGCGGCGGACGGGUGAGUAACACGUGGAUAACCUACCUAUAAGACUGGGAUAACUUCGGGAAACCGGAGCUAAUACCGGAUAAUAUAUUGAACCGCAUGGUUCAAUAGUGAAAGACGGUUUUGCUGUCACUUCUAGAUGGAUCCGCGCCGCAUUAGCUAGUUGGUAAGGUAACGGCUUACCAAGGCAACGAUGCGUAGCCGACCUGAGAGGGUGAUCGGCCACACUGGAACUGAGACACGGUCCAGACUCCUACGGGAGGCAGCAGUAGGGAAUCGUCCGCAAUGGGCGAAAGCUUGACGGAGCAACGCCGCGUGAGUGAUGAAGGUCUUCGGAUCGUAAAACUCUGUUAUUAGGGAAGAACAAAUGUGUAAGUAACUAUGCACGUCUUGACGGUACCUAAUCAGAAAGCCACGGCUAACUACGUG
rnacentral:rRNA from 1 species